AAAGUUUUUCGGUGGCUUUUAGCUAAAACACAAGUCUCACAAGAUAGAGUCUCAUUUUUUACUAAUUUAGGAAAUAAAAGCUUAAGAUACCCCGUGGAUGGAUGCCCUAACCGACGGUGCCAAAGCCAGGCUUCCCGGUCAGCAGUUCCGUGAGCCAGCAUCACCUUGCCUUGCUGAGCUAUCUCAUCCACAUAGUACAAUCCAUCCCGCUCAGUGCCACGUCCAAUAAUCUCCCCCGUCCUGAUAUCCUGCGCCUCUUUCAUAGGCGCCUUCUCCUCCACGAUUUUUUCUACCCCCUUGCACAGCCGCCUCCGCCGUAAUUCCCGAUACUCCAUUCUGCCCAGCGUCAGGAGCCCCGAGUUGAUAUCCGACCCGAGAUCCGGCUGCGCCAGCACCCGAUCCGCGAUCAUCUCCACCGUCACGUUCAUCCUCGCCGUGCGCCGCGCCCGCGCCCUUCCCGCGGGGCCGCGCGCCUUGCCGACCGCCGCGCCGCGGUAGAACAGCGCCGACGUCGUCUCCGGGUACCGGAAUGACGCGAAGUUGGGGUUCUUCACCGACACGUCGGCGGUCAGCGACAUGUUGCUGCCUGGCCGUGGCGUGGCGAUGCCGUUGAUCAGAUCCGCGCCGCAGCAGCUGCAGCAGCGGAGGAGUUGCCGCUGCUGUUUGACGGUGAAUUUGAUAUCUCGGAGAGUUCGAUGAAGAGCUGCCUGAGCGGUUUGGCUGACCUCUGCCGGUGGUGGUCGGCUGAAAACCGUCUUCCGGCCGUGGCGUAUGGCAGUGGACGGUGGCAAUCCCGGUCCCGAUGGCUCCCGAUGAUGAAGGGUCCGGGUUGGUUGCCGGCUGUAGCCGGGCGGCCUCCCAUCUCACUCUUGAGAAUGCCGACUCGGCUGAGGGAACUUCCUUGAGAAUGUCCCGACGAAGUCUGUCAUAUCUCCUAUCAAAUCCGGAGAGGAACUGAAAUAAUCGGUGAUUUCCGAUCAGUUUUCUGUGCUUAUUGAUCCCUUCUUCACACCAGUCGAGUGGAUUUGGGUAAGUUCGAUCCAUUCUGUGGAUUUGUUGAAUUGAUUCAUUUGAAUCUGUUUGGUUUAUGGCUUCAAUCUCUCCUGGCAUUUUUUUUCAGGAAAUGAAGAACAGAGGUUUUGGUUUGGUGUAUUGGUUAGGAAUGGUUUGGUGUAUUGGCUAGGAAUGGUUUUGGUUUUGGAUUAUGAACGAUGAUGAUUCGUUUCUGAGUUCCUAUGGUUGAACCUGCUGAACCUGCUCUGAUACCAUGUUAAAA
rnacentral:lncRNA from 1 species